CGGUUGCCCGCGGCUAUAAUGCAAGUCGAACGGAGGAUUAGCAAUAAUUCUUAGUGGCGAACGGGUGAGUAACGCGUUGGUGACCUGCCCCAAAGAGUGGGAUAACAGUCCGAAAGGAUUGCUAAUACCGCAUGUGGUUGUCGGGUUUAGAAACCGAUAACAAAAGCAGUAAUGCGCUUUGGGAGGGACCUGCGUCCCAUCAGCUAGUUGGUGAGGUAACGGCUCACCAAGGCAACGACGGGUAAGGGGCCUGAGAGGGUGGCCCCUCACAAUGGAACUGAAACACGGUCCAUACACCUACGGGUGGCAGCAGUAGGGAAUAUUGGUCAAUGGGCGAAAGCCUGAACCAGCAACGCCGCGUGUGCGAUGAAGGUCUUCGGAUCGUAAAGCACUUUUCUGGGAGAUGAGAACGGACAGUAUCCCAGGAAUAAGCCUCGGCUAACUACGCGCCAGCAGCCGCGGUAAAACGUAGGAGGCAAGCGUUAUCCGGAUUUACUGGGCGUAAAGCGCGUGCAGGCGGUUCGGCAAGUUGGAUGUGAAAGCUCCUGGCUCAACUAGGAGAGGUCGUUCAAAACUACCGAACUUGAGGGCAUCAGAGGAAAGUGGAAUUCCCGGUGUAGUGGUGAAAUGCGUAGAUAUCGGGAGGAACACCAGUGGCGAAAGCGACUUUCUGGGAUGCAUCUGACGCUCAGACGCGAAAGCUAGGGUAGCAAACGGGAUUAGAGACCCCGGUAGUCCUAGCAGUAAACGAUGUAGACUUGGUGUCGGUAGUGUCAAAGCUAUCGGUAUCGAAGCUAACGCGAUAAGUCUACCGCCUGGGGACUACGGCCGCAAGGUUAAAACUCAAAGGAAUUGACGG
rnacentral:rRNA from 1 species